rnacentral:tRNA from 1 species
GCAGGGGUGUCAGAGUGGUCGAAUGUGCUGGUCUCGAAAACCGGUAUACCGCAAGGUAUCGGGGGUUCAAAUCCCUCCCCCUGCGCCA